ensembl:lncRNA novel transcript
AGCGGGCGGCGCCGACGUCACAAGCUUCCAAGAUGGCGCUGGGCGGGCGGCUGUGAGCGGCGCUCGGGGCGCGCUAGGCGGGGAGCCGAGCCGGGCUGGCGGCAGGCGGACGGGGCGGGCGCGUGCGGCGCGAGCCGGGCGCUGAGGACAAGGGCCGCUGGUAGGGCCGGCCGGCCGGCGGGCGGAGCGCCGCCGCCGACGCACACGAGGUGACCAGGCAUUGAUGCACCCCCAGGAAGGCCACGCGCUCAGGAGGCCCCCCCGCCCCGCUGGCUGCUGCUCACAUGGUGUCUGGGCCCUUGGCACUCUGUUCAUGCGGGAGAUGGCAGGGGCUGGCACAUGACAGUGGAGCAGAAAUUUGGCCUGUUUUCUGCUGAGAUAAAGGAAGCAGACCCCCUGGCUGCCUCGGAAGCAAGUCAACCCAAACCCUGUCCCCCCGAAGUGACCCCCCACUACAUCUGGAUCGACUUCCUGGUGCAGCGGUUUGAGAUCGCCAAGUACUGCAGCUCUGACCAAGUGGAGAUCUUCUCCAGCCUGCUGCAGCGCUCCAUGUCCCUGAACAUCGGCAGGGCCAAGGGGAGCAUGAACCGGCACGUGGCGGCCAUCGGGCCCCGCUUCAAGCUGCUGACCCUGGGGCUGUCCCUCCUGCAUGCCGAUGUGGUUCCAAAUGCAACCAUCCGCAAUGUGCUUCGCGAGAAGAUCUACUCCACUGCCUUUGACUACUUCAGUCCCUGACUCCAGACACUCAGCCGUUGUCCUCUUAUGGUUGUUUGAAGCUGUCCCCCAAAGUUUCCUACUCAAGGAGAGAAGCGGCUGCGUGAAGACAUAAGCAUCAUGAUUAAAUUUUGGACCGCCAUGUUCUCAGAUAAGAAGUACCUGACCGCCAGCCAGCUUGUUCCCCCAGCUGACAUCGGCGACCUCCUGGAGCAGUUAGUAGAGGAGAACACAGGCUCCUUGUCGGGCCCAGCGAAGGACUUUUACCAGCGGGGGUUUGAUUUCUUUAACAAGAUCACCAACGUGUCGGCUGUCAUCAAGCCCUACCCUAAAGGCGACGAGAGAAAGAAGGCUUGUCUGUCGGCCCUGUCUGAAGUGACGGUGCAGCCAGGCUGCUCCCUGCCCAGCAACCCCGAAGCCAUUGUGCUGGACGUCGACUACAAGUCUGGGACCCCGAUGCAGAGUGCUGCAAAAGCCCCAUAUCUGGCCAAGUUCAAGGUGAAGCGAUGUGGAGUUAGUGAACUUGAAAAAGAAGGUCUGCGGUGCCGCUCAGACUCUGAGGAUGAGUGCAGCACGCAGGAGGCCGACGGCCAGAAGAUCUCCUGGCAGGCAGCCAUCUUCAAACUGGGAGACGACUGCCGGCAGGACAUGCUGGCCCUGCAGAUCAUCGACCUCUUCAAGAACAUCUUCCAGCUGGUCGGCCUGGACCUCUUUGUUUUUCCCUACCGCGUGGUGGCCACUGCCCCUGGGUGCGGGGUGAUCGAGUGCAUCCCCGACUGCACCUCCCGGGACCAGCUGGGCCGCCAGACAGACUUCGGCAUGUACGACUACUUCACACGCCAGUACGGGGAUGAGUCCACUCUGGCCUUCCAGCAGACUUUGGCUUCAUGUUUGAAAGCUCGCCGGGCGGCAAUCUCGGCUGGGAACCCGACAUCAAGCUGACGGAUGAGAUGGUGAUGAUCAUGGGGGGCAAGAUGGAGGCCACACCCUUCAAGUGGUUCAUGGAGAUGUGUGUCCAGGCUACCUGGCUGUGCGGCCCUACAUGGAUGUGGUCGUCUCCCUGGUCACUAUCAUGUUGGACACGGGCCUGCCCUGUUUUCGCGGCCAGACAAUCAAGCUCUUGAAGCACAGGUUUAGCCCCAACAUGACUGAGCGCGAGGCUGCAAAUUUCAUCAUGAAGGUCAUCCAGAGCUGCUUCCUCAGCAACAGGAGCCGGACCUACAACAUGAUCCAGUACUAUCAGAAUGACAUCCCCUACUGAGGAGGGGACCUUCGAGGGCCUCUGCCCCAUGUGCCCUUGAAGCUGCCCCACAAUCAUGGAGCCCUGCGACCUACCCGCCCUGCCGCCACAUGCAGUGGAGGAGAGGCCUGUGGCCCGAAGAGCCUGGUAGCGCCUCCUGGGGCAGCACGUGGGUGGCGCAGGCUUAGUAACGCCGUGGACUGCAGCGACAAUCAGUGGAUGGUGCUGUCUAUGCACAGGUGUGAGUCCUCUGUUUGCACUGGACAUAUUCCCUACCUGUUUUAUUUCAUAGGUACAUGAAGUAUUGUGUAUAAAAAAAGAGAUAAGAUUUAACCAACAU